rnacentral:rRNA from 1 species
AUUGAACGCUGGCGGCAUGCUUUACACAUGCAAGUCGAACGGUAACAGGUUAAGCUGACGAGUGGCGAACGGGUGAGUAAUGCAUCGGAACGUGCCCGAUCGUGGGGGAUAACGCAGCGAAAGCUGCGCUAAUACCGCAUACGACCUGAGGAUGAAAGCGGGGGACCGUAAGGCCUCGCGCGAUCGGAGCGGCCGAUGUCAGAUUAGGUAGUUGGUGGGGUAAAGGCCCACCAAGCCGACGAUUUGUAGCUGGUCUGAGAGGACGACCAGCCACACUGGGACUGAGACACGGCCCAGACUCCUACGGGAGGCAGCAGUGGGGAAUUUUGGACAAUGGGCGAAAGCCUGAUCCAGCAAUGCCGCGUGCAGGAAGAAGGCCUUCGGGUUGUAAACUGCUUUUGUACGGAGCGAAAAGGUCCUUUCUAAUACAAGGGGCUCAUGACGGUACCGUAAGAAUAAGCACCGGCUAACUACGUGCCAGCCGCCGCAGUAA